rnacentral:lncRNA from 12 species
GGAGGCUGACAGCUUGGAUGCUGAGUUCAGAUACCGAUUACCUGAGGCUCUUGGGUUUUGGUGAGGCCAGACACAGGAUUACCUACAGUAACAGGAGCAACCAGAACAUGUUCCUGUUAAGUUCUCAUCUACAUGUGGAAGGAAGCAGUAGAGGGAAGUGGAAGAUCCACAACGAGAUGGUCUAUUUUCCCCUGACUGCAGAAAUUCAAGAACCGAGACUUGAAAAAGUGGCACGCAAGGAGUGUCCUUGGUGGCUGUGGAUAUGCUCAGCACCUGACAUUUUUUCUGAACAGAGCCUGGGAGAGAAGGGACAUCACUGACGCCUGAUUCACAUAUGGAAAUGUAGGUCCUCUUGCACGGGCUCCUUUAGCCUCCACCGGAGUAUUUUCUGAGAAUGGGCCAGGCUGUGCCCUCUCCAUCUGCUUCCAUUUGUCCAGGAGACUCAGAUAAGUGGUGCUUAGAAGGUGGCAAAGCAGGCGAUUGAAGUUUGUCUUCAUUCUCCCGGUACCCAGGGCCCUCUGUGGUCCGCUAGUUUUCAACAGCAGGAGAGGGAAGGAUGUGAUCUUGGUCCUUUUGCAUUAGGAUAAAGGAGCUGCCCUCAAAACCAAAGAAUGGUAACGCUUCAUUCUUGACUCUAAACAGGAAAGAUCUUGCCCCUUUGGAAUAGAAUUUUAGGAAAAUAGAAACAGAGGGUACCUGGGUGGCUCAGUCUUUGUUAAGCGUCUGCCUUUGGCUCCGGUCAUGAAGUUGGGGUCCUAGGAUCAAGCCCUGCCUUAGGGCUCCCUGCUCCUCCAAGAGCCAGCUUCUCCCUCUGCCUCUUCGUCUGCUUGUGCACUUUCUCUCUCUGUCAAAUAAAUAAAUAAAAAUUUUUUAAAAAAGGAAAGAG